GGAGUGGUUGGGCGAUUGUAUUUAUUUGAUACCUAUUCAUGUAUUUAUUGAUUGAUUGAUUGAUGUCCCAUUUUGUGGCUUUGAUCGAUGUCUAUAUUGCCUCCUUGGGAAAUAGUUGUAAACGGUCGUGCACGUGGGUUUAUAAAUAGUAUAACUAAAUUAAAGAUUAAUAAACUAUAAUAAAACUCAAAAGAAGAGUCUAGUCUAGUGUGCAUGUGUUCUAUGGUUGUGUGUGUGU
rnacentral:lncRNA from 1 species